CCUACGGGUGGCAGCAGUGAGGAAUAUUGGUCAAUGAGCGCGAGCCUGAACCAGCCAAGCAGCGUGAAGGAUGACUGCCCUACGGGUUGUAAACUUCUUUUAUAAAGGAAUAAAGUGAGGCACGUGUGCCUUUUUGUAUGUACUUUAUGAAUAAGGAUCGGCUAACUCCGUGCCAGCAGCCGCGGUAAUACGGAGGAUCCGAGCGUUAUCCGGAUGUAAUGGGUUUAAAGGGAGCGUAGAUGGGUUGGUAAGUCAGUAGUGAAAGGUUGGGGCUUAACCGUAACAUUGCAGUUGAUACUGGCAGUCUUGAGUACAGUUGAGGUAGGCGGAAUUCGUGGUGUAGCGGUGAAAUGCUUAGAUAUCACGAAGAACUCCGAUUGCGAAGGCAGCUUACU
rnacentral:rRNA from 1 species